ACCUGGCUAACGAGUCCCAAAUAGUACGAAACACGCGUCCUGGAU
rfam:Schistosoma haematobium scaffold671_26, whole genome shotgun sequence.